ACAUUCCAGAACAUUCCGGAACAUUCCAGAACAUUCCCAUUCCAUCCACCUGGGAUCCCUGGGAACAUCCCAGAACAUUCCGGAACAUCCCGGAACAUUCCCAUUCCUGCCCCACCUGGGAUCCCUGGGAACAUCCCAGAACAUUCCGGAACAUCCCGGAACAUUCCCAUUCCUGCCCCACCUGGGAUCCCUGGGAACAUCCCGGAACAUUCCGGAACAUUCCCAUUCCUGCCCCACCUGGGAGCCCUGGGAACAUCCCGGAACAUCCCGGAACAUUCCGGAACAUUCCCAUUGCAUCCACCGGGGAUCCCUGGGAACAUCCCGGAACAUUCCAGAACAUCCCGGAACAUUCCGGAACAUUCCCAUUGCAUCCACCUGGGAUCCCUGGGAACAUCCCGGAACAUUCCAGAACAUUCCGGAACAUUCCCAUUGCAUCCACCUGGGAUCCCUGGGAACAUCCCGGAACAUCCCGGAACAUUCCGGAACAUUCCCAUUCCUGCCCCACCUGGGAUCCCUGGGAACAUCCCGGAACAUUCCAGAACAUUCCGGAACAUUCCAGAACAUUCCCAUUCCAUCCACCUGGGAUCCCUGGGAACAUCCCGGAACAUUCCAGAACAUCCCGGAACAUUCCGGAACAUUCCCAUUCCAGCCCCACCUGGGAUCCCUGGGAACAUCCCGGAACAUUCCGGAACAUUCCCAUUCCUGCUCCACCUGGGAUCCCUGGGAACAUUCCGGAACAUUCCAGAACAUUCCGGAACAUUCCCAUUGCAUCCACCUGGGAUCCCUGGGAACAUCCCGGAACAUUCCGGAACAUUCCCAUUGCAUCCACCUGGGAUCCCUGGGAACAUCCCAGACCAUUCCGGAACAUUCCGGACCGUUCCCAUUCCCGCUCUUCUCCUUUUCCCAGGAAUUCCUGAAGGCGGAACCUCCGGACGCGCUCCGGACGCGGCUCCGGCAGCGAGCGCUCGACGCCUGCUCCCACCUCCUGUAUCCCACAAUUCCCGGAAUUCCCAAAAUUCCCACAAUUCCCGAGCCGUGUUUUCCUUCCCUCUUUUUUUCCCAAUUUUUCCCGGAUUUUCCUGGUUUUUCCCUCUCAUUUUUCCCUUUACUUUUUCCCAGCUUUUUCCCUUUUUUUCCCCAUUUUUUUCCUCUAAUUUUCCUGGUUUUUUCCUCUUUUUCCCAUUCCCUUUUUUUCCCCAUUUUUUUCCUCUAAUUUUCCUGGUUUUUUCCUCUUUUUCCCAAUUUUUCCCUGUUUUUUCCUCUCUUUCUUCCCAUUUUUUUCCCAUUUUUUCCCUCUUUUUUCUCCCAUUUUGCCAUCUUUCUUCCCUCUUUUUCCUCUCAUUUUUCCCAUUUUUUCCUCUUAUUUUUUCCAGCUUUUUCCCUUUUUUUCCCCAUUUUUUUCCUCUAAUUUUCCUGGUUUUUUCCUCUUUUUCCCAAUUUUUCCUGGUUUUUUUCCUCUUUCUUCCCAAUUUUUCCCGGUUUUUUCCUCUCUUUCUUCCCAUUUUUUUCCCAUUUUUUCCCUCUUUUUUCUCUCAUUUUUCCAUCUUUU
rnacentral:lncRNA from 1 species